AAACUGCAGCCCUUUCCCAUAAGCAUCCUGGGGUUUUAUUCGUACUAUAUUAUUAUUAUUAUUAUUAUUAUUAUUAUUAUUAUUAUUAUUAUUAUUAUUAUUAUUAUUAUUGUAUGACACAGCAAACAAGAUAGAUAUGCUGGAUUUCAUAUCACAAAAUCCCAAGUCAAACACUUCCCAAGUGUCUAGGACUGUGAUGUAUUUUCGGAUGAUGCGCGCAGAUCCCAGUCGGGUGGCCUUUUGCAGUUGGCAGAUUGUGAUUUUGUCAAUGCCUAUUGUUUCCAAAUGCCGGCUGAGAUCUUUUGGCACGGCACCCAGUGUGCCCAUCACCACCGGGACCACCUGCACUGGUUUCUGCCAGAGUCUUUGCAGUUCAAUCUUGAGGUCCUGAUAGCGGCUGAGUUUUUCCUGUUGUUUUUCGUCAAUGCGACUGUCACCUGGGAUGGCGACAUCAGUGAUCCAAACCUUUUUCUUUUCCACAACUGUGAUGUCUGGUGUGUUGUGUUCCAGAACUUUGUCAGUCUGGAUUCGGAAGUCCCACAAUAUCUUUGCGUGCUCAUUUUCCAAGACUUUUGCAGGUUUGUGAUCCCACCAGUUCUUUGCUGCUGGGAGGUGGGACUUGAGGCAUAAGUUCCAAUGAAUCAUUUGGGCCACACAGUUGUGCCUCUGUUUGUAGUCUGUCUGUGCAAUUUUCUUACAGCAGCUGAGGAUAUGAUCCAUGGUUUCGUCGGUUUCCUUGCACAGUCUGCAUUUUGGGUCAUCAGCUGAUUUUUCAAUCUUGGCCUUAAUUGCAUUUGUUCUGAUGGCUUGCUCCUAUUAUUAUUAUUAUUAUUAUUAUUAUUUUACUAUGACACAGCAAACAAGAUAGAUAUGCUGGAUUUCGUAUCAUCAUCAUUAUUAUUAUUAUUUUAUAGAAAGGACUGCAGUCUGAGAGAUAGGGCAGUAUAUUAUUAUUAUUAUUAUUAUUAUUAUUACUAUUAUUAUUAUUAUUGGCCCCACUUGAACUGGCUCAGUAUUAAAUUGUCGUCUGACAGUACUGUAUUAUUAUUAUUAUUAUUAUUAUUAUUAUUAUUAUUAUUAUUGUAUGGCACAAGGGGCCAAACUGCAGCCCUUUGCCAUAAGCAUCCUGGGGUUUGAUUCAUAGUAUAUUAUUUUAUUGUUAUUAUUAUUAUUUUAUAGAAAGGAUUGCAGUCCGAGAGAUAGGGCAGUGUAUAAAUACAAUUUUAUUAUUAUUAUUAUUAUUAUUAUUAUUGCCCUCACUUGAACUGGCUCAGUAUUAUGUUGCUGUCUGACAGUACUGUAUUAUUAUUGUUGUUGUAUGGCACAAGGGGCCAAACUUCAGCCCUUUGCCAUAAGCACCCUGGGGUUUGAUUCAUAGUAUAUUCUUAUUAUUAUUAUUUUAUUAUGACACAGCAAACAAGAUACAUAUGCUGGAUUUUGUAUCACAAAAUCACAAGUCUGUGCGAUUUUCUUACAGCAGCUGAGGAUAUGAUCAAUGGUUUUGUCGGUUUUUUAUUAUUAUUAUUAUUAUUAUUAUUAUUAUUAUUAUUUUAUAGAAAGGACUGCAGUCUGGGAAAUAGGGUGGUAUAUAAAUAAAGUAUUAUUAUUAUUAUUAUUAUUAUUAUUAUUAUUAUUAUUAUUAUUAUUAUUGGCCCCACCUGAACUGGCUCAGUAUUAUGUUGUAGCUGUGUUGUAUUAUGCACAAACUUUGGCCCUCCAGGUGUUUGGAACUUCAACUCCCACAAUUCCUAACAGACUGAAGUGCCUGCUAUAAAAGGCAUGAGAAGGAAUGUAUGUGCUUCUUUGCCUCUUUCGCCGGCCUGGCUCAAUGCUGUGGGAUCCUGAGAGGUGUAGUUUGACAAGGGCUGCAUCCACACUGUAGCGGUAAUGUGGUUUAGCGCUACAUUGUAGACUUAAUGCGGUUUGGCGCCUCGUUUACUGUCCUGGCUCAAUGUAUGGGAUCCUGGGAGUUGUUGUUUGACAAGGGCUGCAUCUACACUGCAGACUUAAUGCGGUUUGGCGCUUCGUUUACUGUCCUGGCUCAAUGUAUGGGAUCCUGGGAGUUGUUGUUUGACAAGGGCUGCAUCUACACUGCAGACUUAAUGCGGUUUGGCGCCUCGUUUACUGUCCUGGCUCAAUGUAUGGGAUCCUGGGAGUUGUUGUUUGACAAGGGCUGCAUCUACACUGCAGACUUAAUGCGGUUUGGCGCCUCGUUUACUGUCCUGGCUCAAUGUAUGGGAUCCUGGGAGUUGUUGUUUGACAAGGGCUGCAUCUACACUGCAGACUUAAUGCGGUUUGGCGCCUCGUUUACUGUCCUGGCUCAAUGUAUGGGAUCCUGGGAGUUGUUGUUUGACAAGGGCUGCAUCUACACUGCAGACUUAAUGCGGUUUGGCGCCUCGUUUACUGUCCUGGCUCAAUGUAUGGGAUCCUGGGAGUUGUUGUUUGACAAGGGCUGCAUCUACACUGCAGACUUAAUGCGGUUUGGCGCUUCGUUUACUGUCCUGGCUCAAUGUAUGGGAUCCUGGGAGUUGUUGUUUGACAAGGGCUGCAUCUACACUGCAGACUUAAUGCGGUUUAGCUCCUCGUUCACUGGCUUUGAAGUCCCUCAAAUGAAUGCAAAUUAUCCACUUAAAGCUUUGUGUGUUGCCCUUGUUGGUUUCAGCCAGUCCGAUCCCAUCCAUAGUUUGCUUGAAAUUGCGAUUGAAUUCCAUAUUUGUGCGAAAUCUUUUCUUUGGAAGGAUCUAAGACCUCCAUUGGUGGUAACAGCCUUUGAGACUACAGUCAAUGUGGCCUGUGUUUGGUAAAGGCAAUUCAAUGGAGGAUAUUGUCUUCACCCUUUGGCACCCAUAGUUUUUCUACCAAAGUUGCAUGGCAUAAAAUAUACAUAUACUAGCUUGGGCACCUGCCGUUGCCCGAGUUAUUUGAAAAAUUCAAUUUUUAAUUAUACAAAAUGCAUAGGCUUGUGGGUGAACUACAAUUCACAUCAUGCCAGGUUAACCCCUAGAAACUCCAUCAGUACUUAAAGUUUGUUAUUUUGGGCAUGUUUGCUCUGGAUGCAUCAUGGGUGAGGUUCAGUGUGCUCUCUGGCUGUAGGGUAAACUACAACUCCUGGAUAAAUUUAUUUAUUUAUUUAUUUAUUUAUUUACAGUAUUUAUAUUCCGCCCUUCUCUCUCACCCCGAAGGGGACUCAGGGCGGAUUACAAUGAACACAUAUAUGGCAAACAUUCAAUGCCAACAGACAAACAACAUUCAGUUUAGACAGACACAGAGGCAUUUUAACAUCUUUUCCAGCUUCACGAUUCCGGCCACAGGGGGAGCUGUUGCUUCACCGUCCAUUUGGUGGCUGUUCUUCCUCAUUCUUUUCCUCGUAUUUUGCUGGCAGUUUUAUGGUGUUGUAAAUUAGUUAAAUUAGCCUCCCGCAUAAAGCGUACCUAAAUUUUCCCUACUUGACAGAUGCAACUGUCUUUCGGGGCUGCAUAGGUCAACAGCAAGCCGGGGCUAUUAAUGGUCGGAGGCUUAACCCGACCUGGGCUUCGAACUCAUGACCACUCGGUCAGUAGUGAUUUAUAGCAGCUGGUUACUAGCCAGCUGCGCCACAGCCCGGCCCCACAGAUGUCUAUUCUAAACAUUACAUAAACUACAACUCCCACUAUGGGGAGUUAGUCCCCUCAAACCCCUCCAGUAGAUAGAGAUGAUCAUGUGAGUUCUGUGCCAUGUUUGGUCCAGGUCCAUCAUCAGUGGAGGUCAUAGUGUCUCUGGUUGUGUGUGAGCUACAACUCCCAGAAAGGAAGGUCAGUCCCCCCCCCAAAAAAAAACCUUUCCAGUAAUCAAAUUUCGUCAUAUCAGGUAUGUCUGCCAAGUUUGGUCCAGAUCCUUCAGUGCUUGGGUUGACAGUGCUCUCUGGAUGUAGGUGAACUACAACUCCCCCAAAUCAAGGUGAAUUUUCCCCAAAUGCCUCCAGUAUUUUUUCCUGGCCAUGAAGGCUCUGUGUGCCGAGUUCGGUCCAAUUCCAUCUUUGGUGGUGUUCAGAGUGCUCAUUGAUUGCAAGUAUACUAUAAAUCCCAGGACCUACAACUCCCGCAAUGUCCAGCUAAUUCUUCUCAAAACCCACCAGGAUUCCAAUGUGGGCAUAUGGGGUCUGCAUGUCAAGUUUGGUCCAGAUCUAUCACCGUUUGGGUUCAUAGUGUGCUCCGGAUGUAGGUGAACUACAACUCCCCCAAAUCAAGAGUUCUAUUGUUACUAUUACAUUCAUUUUAUUCUAUUUUUUAUUAUCAAUAAUGUAUUUAUUAUUUUACUCUAUUAUUAUUAAAAGGAUACAUAAGCACAUUUACACUGAAGAAGAUGAGACGAAUGAUUAAACCAGAGUUGGACAGUUUUAUCUUAAAUUACAGUUUUUGGUAAAAUUCAAAAAUAUUUAACCUACUGAUGCUUCAAUAAGUGUAAUUUUAUUAGUGUCUAUUUUUAUUUCUGAAAUUUGCCGCUCUCGGCUUAUAUCUGAGUCAAUGUUUUCCCAAUUUUUUAUGGUAAAAUUAGGUGCCUCGGCUUAUAUUCGGGUCGGCUUAUAUUCGAGUAUAUAAGGUAUAUAUUCUUUGUUUGCUGCAACAUGCAGGUGUGACGGCCAUUUGCAUCGUACAGACCCAUUGAAGUGGGUGCCUAUGGCUGUUUGCCUUAUCAUAGCUGUUUUAUUAUUUUUUUAUUAUUUUUUUAUUUUUUUAUUUUAUUUAUUUAAAAGACUUGUUUUAUUGCUCUCUUGGAAUUCUGUCCUUUACUUCCCCUCUGAAUGUGCUGGGUGAACAAGGACAGUCCCUUACAGCAAAAUUAGGUGCCUCGGCUUAUAUUCGGGUCGGCUUAUAUUCGAGUAUAUACGGUAUAUAUUCUUUGUUUGCUGCAACAUGCAGGUGUGACAGCCAUUUGCAUCGUACAGACCCAUUGAAGUGGGUGCCUAUGGCUGUUUGCCUUAUCAUAGCUGUUUUAUUAUUUUUUUAUUAUUUUUUAUUUUUUAUUUUAUUUAUUUAAAAGACUUGUUUUAUUGCUCUCUUGGAAUUCUGUCCUUUACUUCCCCUCUGAAUGUGCUGGGUGAACAAGGACAGUCCCUUACAGCAAAAUUAGGUGCCUCGGCUUAUAUUCGGGUCGGCUUAUACUCAAGUAUAUACGGUAUUUUUCUUUCCUGAUAGAAACUGGGGGAGGGGGCUUUUGUGGGCACCUUCGGGCCGACAUACCUGGGGGCUUUGUGCCCCAUUUGUGCCGAAGGCCGAGGAGAUGCCACCUGCAGCCUUGCGGUCUAAUCCUCUUUGACCCAGUGAGGAUGGCCCAGAAAAAGGGGCUAAAAAUACCUUCCGUUACCUGGAAUCCCCGAACACCGAGGAAGCUCAUUAGGGGAAAUCUCCUGGGCUGGAAAGGGCUGGGAGCGUGACCCCAACUGGGGUCAGAGCAUGGGCAGAAGGGGUCUCCUGGUUUCCUUGACCCUCUGGACAUCCGUAGAGAACACCUCAUGCCCAUCAGGGGCGGUUCAACUGCAAGGCAAACUAGGCAGUUGCCUGUGGCGCCGUCCUCCAGGGGGCACCGUCUGUUUUCAGAGUGUUGUUUUUUAUUUAGGCUUUUCCUUAAUCCCUCCUUAUUAUCCAACAUUUUUGCUUAUCCAACGCUUUUAUUUUUCAGUGAUUGGUUUUGGGGGGGUGCCAAAAUUCUGUUCGCCUACACUUGAAAAUUACCUUGGGCCGGCCCUGGGUCCCAUCCAGCUCUCCUUCUAUGUCACCCUUGACAUGCUCUGACUUUACAUAUAUAGUGUCACACCUCAGGUUAGCUUCACCUUGCUAGAGACACCAGACUGCACACAGAAUGUAGUCUUUUGUAGUUUAUUGGAAAAUAAGGAAAAGAUAGAUCAUAAAAGGUAAAAGUUUGGUUCCAGUAAAUAGUUACAAAAGCAAGGCUGAACGAAAUAAAUCCAUGGAAACAUUAGGCAUGAAACAAGGUCCUUAAAAUGAAGUCAAAGUCCCAGAAACUUAGAUACAUCCAGACUACAAAGAAACCCAGGAAAGCAGACUUGGUUCUUGAUUCAAGCGAGGAAAUGGCUUUGAUGAAUUUCUCCCUCUCAGCAGACUGUUUUAAUAGCAUAACAUAAAGGUGUUUCUUUGUCCUUUGAACUCCGUCUUACUUGCUAUUUGGAGACUUCUACACAACCCUCGAAAUUCCAGACGACUAGCCCGAUCUAAAGACGUGGCCUCAUCGCUUUCACUUUCAAGGCCACAGGGCUUGUUAGCAUCAUCAAACAGAGGCUGAGAGGUGCUCUCCCUUUCUGCUUCUUGCACCUGAAAACCAUCAUCAUUAACAACCACAUUCCUUCCCAUGGGAAAGCCUCCCUGCUCUUCAUCUCCCACAGCAGGAACACUCUGCACCUGAAUCCCAUAAUUCGCAUCAGAAUCAUCUUGAAACUCAUCCUGAACCUGAAUCCCAUCAUCUGGAAACUGCACCCCAGAAUCCUCAUCAGAGUCACACAAAGGCUGAGUCACAACAUAUUGUUGGCCUUCUAUUUUCAUAGGGGCAAAGACCCUUCACAAAAGUGAAUGAAAAACAUGCAAUUGUGGAAAGCUUUCUAAGAAUCUCUAGGCUCUCCUGCACGGCUAUGGUCAAUGUCUGGUGGAAGUCGGCCACAGAACUGUGAUGCAGGACCUACAAAAUCCUAGAGAAGUGCCAGCCUUCAUGCAGAGUGUAACUUUUAUUUUGUCAGGAGCAAGUUUCAAUAUUUUUGCCCCCACCCCAUCCCACCCCAUGACAAGAGAUGGUUGCCUUGGUUUGGAAUGGAAAGGCAGAGUAGAGUUGGGUAUCAUCCAAUUGUUGAUAGUGCAGGACCCAAAACUUCAGAUCCGCUUUCCUGGCGGUUUCAUGUAUACAUUGAAUAUCAUGGGGACAAGCCCUUGCAGGGAAAGUCCCAUCCCUGCAAGAAGGCCAAGGACAUCCAUUGCAGAGCAUCCACGCUGUUCGCGAUUGAGGAAUGGACGAUGCACAUGCAAGGCCACCCUACAUGCAUGACGUGCAUUGAACACUGUCCAUGCACAUGCAUGUGUGCCAGAGCAAGUUGUACAUUGAACAUUGCCUUUGUUUGCACAAGUCUAAUUUUGCAAAUACAGUAGAGUCUCACUUAUCCAAGACUCGCUUAUCCAAGGUUCUGGAUUAUCCAAUGCAUUUUUGUAGUCAAUGUUUUCAAUAUAUCAAGAUAUUUUGGUGCUAAAUUCAUAAAUACAGUAAUUACAACAUGACAUUACUGCGUAUUGAACUACUUUUUCUGUCAAAUUUGUUGUCUAGCAUGAUGUUUUGGUGCUUUAUUUGUAAAAUCAUAACCUCAUUUGAUGUUUAAUAGGCUUUUCCUUAAUCUCUCCUUAUUAUCCAAGAUAUUCGCUUAUCCAAGGUUCUGCUGGCCUGUUUAGCUUGGAUAAGUGAGACUCAACUGUAUUUCCAACUCAUUGAUAUGGUGCUCCAUUGACGAGGUUAGAAAGUCUCUGGGAGAAGGGCUCUCUGAUGAGGAGUUCUUCACUUCACUUCACUUCACUUUAUUUCUUAAUUAGUUGCUUUUCACCAGAGUGCUCCGAGCAACUUACAAUUUAAAAUAUCAUUCCACAAUAUAAAACAUUCAACAUAAAAACAUUCAACAGUGACUAUUUGGCAAAUUAGAUUAGAUUUUCUUAAAUGUACAACCAAGCAGCCAAGUCUUGAGUGCUUUUACAAAAGGUCGCAACUCCGACAUUGCUCUAAGAUAUGGAGGCAAUGAGUUCCACAGAAUUGGAGCCUAGGACGAAAAGGCUCUACGCCUUGUAGCUUCCUAAACAGAAGCUGAACGCUUCCAAGAUAGCGCAGUUUGAUACCGCUUUUGCUUCCACGGAAUCUGGGAUUCGUAGAGUUCCAUCAAGCUGGUUAACAUGGAAAGCAGACUCUUCCCUGGCUGGUUUUGGGUGCCUCAAGGCUGUCUCUCUGGGGGAGCGUUUGGCAGCAAAGGCGAGUGACUGUGCACCUCUUGCACCCGCUUCCCGGCUCCUGUUCCCAGAGAGGAAGGCUGAUGGGAGCGGAGAGGGAUUGCCGAGGGAGCAUUGCCGCCUGGGGCUAGUGAGGACGGUUGGUAUGGCAACCUAAGAACAGCGGAGGAGGCAAAAAGGACACUGUGCCGGUGGGGCUGGGUGUCUGCAAAGUGCCGUUUCAAAGCACACGCGGCGGGCCUGCAAAACCAGGGACGAAUGGCCAUCCUUUUGAAGGGACACAAGGGGCCUGAUUUAAUUUAUUCAAUCUGAUUCAUAAAUAGCAGUGGUAUUCAGAAUGGUUUGAUUAAAUAAAUAGUCUUCUUAAUAGUUAGGAGCCCCGGUGGCAAAGUGCGUUAAAGCACUGAGCUGGAGACCGAAAGGUCCCAGGUUCAAAUCCCAGGAGCGGAAUAAGCGCCCGCUGUUUAUUUCUGAUUUAUUUAUUUCCGAUAUUUCUACCCCGCCCUUCUCCCCGCGGGGACUCAGGGCGGCUUACACAACUGGCAGGAUCACUCCAGCUGUUGCUCCAGCUUCUGCCAACCUAGCAGUUCGAAAACAUGCUAAUGUGAGUAGAUCAAUAGGUACCACUCCGGAGGGAAGGUAACGGCGCUCCAUGCAGUCAUGCUGGCCACAUGACCUUGGAGGUGUCUACAGACAACGCCGGCUCUUUGGCUUAGAAAUGGAGAUGGGCACCAACCUCCAGAGUGUGAGUAGAUCAAUAGGUACUGCUCUGGUGGGAAGGUAACGGUGCUCCAUGCAGUCAUGCUGGCCACAUGACCUUGGAGGUGUCUACAGACAACGCCGGCUCUUUGGCUUAGAAAUGGAGAUGGGCACCAACCUCCAGAGUGUGAGUAGAUCAAUAGGUACUGCUCUGGUGGGAAGGUAACGGCGCUCCAUUCAGUCAUGCUGGCCACAUGACCUUGGAGGUGUCUACGGACAACGCCGGCUCUUUGGCUUAGAAAUGGAGAUGAGCACCAACCCCCAGAGUGUGAGUAGAUCAAUAGGUACUGCUCCAGCAGGAAGGUAACGGCGCUCCAUGCAGUCAUGCCAGUGGCCACAUGACCUUGGAGGUGUCUACGGACAACGCCGGCUCUUCAGCUUAGAAAUGGAGAUGAGCACCAACCCCCAGAGUGUGAGUAGAUCAAUAGGUACUGCUCUGGUGGGAAGGUAACAACGCUCCAUGGAGUCAUGCCAGUGGCCACAUGACCUUGGAGGUGUCUACGGACAACGCCGGCUCUUUGGCUUAGAGAUGGAGAUGAGCACCAACCCCCAGAGUGGGACACGACUGGACUUAACGUCAGGGGAAACCUUUACCUUUACCUUAAUAGUUAGAAGAUGUCAGUAAGAAAUGUUUGUCACAAAUACCACCAAAUGGCCAGCCAUAAAACAAGCCCAUGGCCUUCCUGGGGAUGCAAAGGGAAUCCAUUGACCAGGAACUCACACGUGCAGGCAGGGCAAUAAAACCUUAGAAACAACAGUCUUAGACGUAAGAGUCAGAGAUGGCAUUUUGAUGUAGUUUGAUAGACGGACAUUUGCUGUUUGUUGUUUUGAUAAACAUCUGACCAAAUGGUGCCGUGUGCAAGAUGAAACAAGAUGAAGGAAGGAAGGGGCGUGAGAACAAGGAUGUUUGUGAAGUGAAUUGUACCCGCAAGAAUAUUAUAAAUACUCCAUGUGAAAUCUCAGUCCUUUUCAUGAUGGUCACGUGCAGCCUAUUUGCAAAUAAAUCUGUGUAUUUCUAUCUCCUCUGCAUCGUAGUUCUUUCAUUGGAAAACCGGCACUAGGGGAUUCUGCAAGGUUUGCUCAACACUUUGAUGGUUUGGGGUGCAAUAAACCGUUGGAUCUUUGCUCCUCGGUGAGGCCAACACAGUCUUCCUUAUCCCAGCACAUUUGCAGAACCAGUUGGGUAUUAUUGUUGCAAGGAUUGCACAUGCAGCCUUGUAACACAUGGUUGAGCACUGUGCAUAGUUUUGCAUUGUUUUGUGGGCAUUUGAAUGCCAUGGUUUAGUCACAACGUGCUGUUGCACACAGAGGUACAUGAACACAGGGCAAUGCUCUCGCCUCCUUGAAUCUGCAUUUCAGAUGGUAUGUGAUGACUCACCGCAAGGAGUGGACCGUCGUAGUCUUUUCAGUCACAUCGGAUGUUACCGUUGAGUGAGUCCAAACAUCUGCCCAGAUCCAGUCGAUGCAUCGCCCAGUCUCUUAGCAUUCAGUCCCUGGCCUCUGAAUUGGAAAGUGCAUUGCAUUUGUGGGAAGGAGAGCAGGGAGAGAGGAAAGUUGGAUCUGGAUCUUGCAGGUUGAUGCCUUGGCAACAAGGUGAUGUCCUUGUCAAAGAAGGAGUAGAUGCCUGGGAAUCGUAGAAACAUCGGGCUGGAAGAGUUACGAAAUAUGCUGGACCCAAACCCACAAAAUGGGUUCAGCACCAUGGAUAGUGUUGGAUUAUGGUUGUAUGUGUAUGAAAUGUAAAUCAAGUGUUUUCUGCUAUUAGGCAAGAGUGUGUGUUUCAGUAAUGAAACAGUUAACAGCAGGCUAGUUUUGACUGACAGCCUGUUGUGAUUGCUAUGACCUAUCAGGCAUGGUUUCUGGCUUUGGAGGUCGGAACUUCCUUCGGACUGAGGAAUGUGUUUUCUUAUCUCUGCGUGUGUUGAGCUGGUGCUUGCCGAGGUAAGAGGCUAUAGAGAAAUGCCAGCUCAGAGCGAUGGCUUUUACUAUGCUUUGUAAAUAUGUUUGUAGAUAUUGAAUAAAUGUUUGGACUUCAGACUACAGAUGUGUUUGAGUCUGACAUUUGAACAGAGGAAUCGGUGAGGCAAACGAUUGCAACCAAUUCAUCAGGGUGUGACGCCUCUAGGCUGCGUGAGCACUGGAAACCAGACACGGAGGCCAAUAAACAAUCUAAUAUCUUUAUUAAAGAAAUAAAAGAGUCAAACAAAAAUAAGCAGAGUAUAUAGUCCAGCAAUAGUCCUUUAAGGAAAAGUCAAAUAUAGUCCAAUAAUGUAAAGUUAGAUGUCCAGUACUAGAGUUCAAAGUUUAAAAUCCAAUAACCGAAACACACUCAAACUUCCAAGCAGUUUGAGUGGGGAAAUACGCAAGGUCUUUCAAAGAGUUCCAGGUUCAAUGUCCAAGGCUGGGAUAACAAGGCAACGCAAAGUUGGUUGUGGUGGAACUGAACUGCAGUCCAGACUUGACAGGGAGACGAGAUGCAACGCCCAGUCUACUCAAGAGUAGCGCGGCAGGAACUAGAGACGAUGUUAAUUGCCCAACUGACACGUUGACACCGCGCUGGCUAGCCAGCACGCAGAACUUUUAUGGGACUUCAAAUCUCCCUUCAAACCAGGUGCCUGAACACUUUUUCCCAAGGGAAACGGACUGAAGACAACAACUUGCCAGACGCAACCCUCCCUGGAAACUCUCAAGGGAAUCGGUUUAAUUAGCGUCCUCUCUCUCCGCUAAUCUCGCGCUUUUCCUCCGAUUCUCCUUCUCAGAGCGGAAUGUUUUCAGAAACAAUCUCCUAUCAAAAGGAGCACUUUCUGGGGAAACAAACUCUGUUUCAAGGGCUUUUGUAAUUAGCUUUGGGCCAAAACUGUCAACAGGGAACAUCUGGAAGGGAGCAGAAUCUUGCUGAGUUGGCACAAACCCCAUAUACUUUUCAGUUUGAUCCAUAAUGACUGCGGGGUCAUGACUCGAGGGUCCCUGAGACAUCACACAGGGUACUGGAGAAGAUGAUUGAUGGAGCUUGAAGAAACACACCCAGCACGCACCCUGAACCCCACGCCGGCAGAUAGCUUCUCAGGUUUCAGACUAAACCCCAGAACAGGCUCACAGUCCGCAAUCCUAUUGGUGUCCUUCUUCUAAGUCAGCUUCCCCACGGAAGGGAUUGGCCGUUUUGUCCGAAGUGGGGCAUCCACAUUCACGUUGAAGUUGCAAAUGUGGAAUUGCAAGGGCUGUGCAGCGUUGCCCAUUUGAGCUGCCUGACAUUGCCAUCCAUCACAAAGGUUGAUGGCCCACUGCAUUCAUCUCUCGACAUGUGGAGGUUUAUGCUGCAGAGCCCUGAUGCUGGGUCUCGGCCAAGGUGUCCAGAGAAGCAACCUGGAUUACGUAGAGCAGAGUGGCACAAAUCCAGUAACGUUUAGCUGCUUGUUGAUCUGGCUAAACUGCGUGAUAAUAAUCCCAAUGGUCUUUGAGCAUCUCAGGGAAAGGUAACCGGCCCCUUCUCUUCUUCUGUUAGGUCAGGCGUGGCUCAGACUUGUUGUUGUUAUUGUUCCUUCAAGUUGACUCUUUCGUCAGGCUUUCUUGGCAGAAGACUUCCUAUUCAGAGGAGGUUCGCCAUGUCUUCCCUCUAAGGCUGAGAGUGUGACCUGCCUGCGGUUGAGUGUGAAUUUGAACUUCUGGCCAUUGGAUGUCUGGAGCACAUCUUCAUUGUGGAGUUAAUGCACUGCUACAGAACAUUCAAUGCCAUGGAAUCCUGGGAGCUGUAGUUUUACAAGGCCUUCCCCACCAACGAGUGCAAACGGCAUCUCCCAGUAUUCAAUAGCAUUGCCGUGUGGCGGUUCAAGUGGUGAGCUUAAUUUGUUCACCCAUCGUCCAGCUUUCAAAUCAUGGCACCGGACAGGCUUUUGAGAUAUCUUUGGAGGGUGUUUCAGAGGCUGUUCCUAUUGAAUACUGUGCUUGUGAUGCUGGAGUGACCGGUCAGCGCUCGGGGGUCCUGGCACAGUCCGGCCCUCGGUGCCCCGCUUUCAAUGGGCCUGACUGACCAUUGUGAAUGGGUCAAUAAUGGCAACAGUGUCUCCUGAGCCUCUCUCCCUCCGCAGGGAAUCAAAGCCCUGCCAUUCAGUUUGACAGGCAGGGAGUUCCUCCCCACUGCCUGGGGCCUUGGAGGGUGGGUGUGGGGCAAAGAGCUUUCCCACCACCUUGAAAAUGUCAAUGAAAAGAUAGGGAAUGUUCACUUCAUCAGGCAAUAGCUUCCAUCUUUCUGGACAGAAUGGCCAAGAUCCUCCAUUUCGCUCUGAUUAUAUUUUUAAUCAUAGAAUUGGAAGAGACCACAUGGGCCAUCCGACCCAACUCCCUGCUUCCACUCAGGAAAAGCACAAUCCAAGCAGUCUUAUGGAUUGUAGGUGUUCAUUUUUUAAUUAAUAUCAUUGGUGUUUAAUUCUUUUUUUAAUGUUUGCCUACUUUUGGGUUUUGAAUUGUAUUGAAAUGCUUUUAAUGCAAGCCACUUUGAGUCUCCUUUGUGGAGAGUAAAAGCAGAAUAUAAAUAUAAUAAUAAUAAUAAUAACAACUUUAUGCAGCAUUGAGCCACAGUGGUGGAAUGGGUUAAACCCUUGUGCCGGCUGAACUGUUAACCUGAAGAUGGGUUGCAUAAUAAUAAUAAUAAUUAUAAUUAUUAUUAUUAUUAUUAUUAUUAUUAUUAUUAUUAUUAUAAAAACUUGAUUUAUACCCCGCCACCAUCUCCCCGCAGGUUUCCCCUGACGUUAAGUCCAGUUGUGUCCGACUCUGGAGGUUAGUGCCCAUCUCCAUUUCUAAGCCUAUGAGCCGGCAUUGUCCGUAGACACCUCCAAGGUCAUAUGGUUGGCAUGACUGAAUGGAGCGCCAUUACCUUCCCACUAGAGCAAUACCUAUUGAUCUACUCACAUUUGCAUGUUUUCAAACUGCUAGGUUGGCAGAAGCUGGGGCUAACAGCGGGAGCUCACCCUGCUCCCCAGAUUCAAACCUCCAACUUUUUGGUCAGCAAGACGGUUUAACCUGCUGUGCCACCGGGGGCUCUUUGGGGAAAGAUGGAGUGUAAAUAAACUAAACAAACUAAGCAACAAUAUUUCAUAAAGGACAACAUGGUUUCUUCCCAAUUCUCAGAGCGCCCGAGAUUUCCCGCUAAGCUGCUUUGUGCAGAAUUGGGAAGGACAUUUUAAUAUGUUAAUCCUUAAAUGGCAAGAAUAGAAUAUGGACGCAGCUUAGUGGGUGGCCGUUCUUAACUGUUCAACAUGCCUCACGGAAGCCGAGGACGUGUUUCGGAGAGACUGUGGCACGAGUUCAGAGUUCAGAGCAUUUAUGAGAUUGAUGACGGGCCAAGGCAUGGGAUUGAGGGAGAUGCCACUACAUGUUACAUACUAAGCACGGUUGUUUGCAGCUUGUCACUCAAACACAGACAUGCAAAACACCAAGGAAAAUUAUUCACAUAAUAAAAGUGAAAAUAUGUACUGUAUAUACUCGAGUAGAAGCCUAGUUUUUCAGCCCUUUUUUUAAGACUGAAAAAGGCCCCCUCGGCUUAUACUUGGGUGAGGGUCCUGGUUGGCUUAUAUUUGGGUCAGCUUAUACUCGAGAAUAUAUGGGACAUUUAUUAUUUUUCUCUAUUAUUAUUGGUAUUAUUACAUUUAUUAUUUUUCUCUAUUAUUGUUGCUACUAUUACAUUUAUUUUACUCUAUUUUUAUUAUUAAUAAUAAUACAUUUAUUAUUUUAUUUUUAACGUAUAUAUGUGUAUAUAUAUAUAUAUAUUUAUUUAUUGGUUUUGUUUUUGUCCUGAUGUUUUAUAUUUUAUCAUUGUUUGUAUUUUGAUUUUGCUGUAAGCCGCCCCGAGUCCCCUUCGGGGGAGAUGGAGGCGGGAUACAAAUAAACUUAUUAUUAUUAUUAUUAUUAUUAUUAUUAUUAUUAUUAUUAUUAUUAUCUUAUUAUUAUUGCAUAUAUUAUUUUACUCUAUUUAUUAUUACAGGCCCACAGUUUCCAUUGAAAUCCUGAUAGGCUUAUGUUGGUUAAAAUUGUUUUCAUUUUUAAAUAUUGUAUUGUUCUUUCAUUGUUGUUGUUGUUGUUUUGCAUUACAAAUAAGACAUUUGCAGUGUGCAUAGGAAUUUGUUGGAUUUUUUUCCAAAUGAUAAUUCAGCCCCUCAACAGUCUGAAGGAUUGUAGACCGGCCCUCUGCUUUGAAAGUUUGAAGACCCCUGAUGUACGGUAUGUGUGGCUGAGGUGUCCACUUACACAGACAAACCUACUACUCAGGAGCCACCAAAGGCCCUUCCUCCAAUGAUGUUGCAGGUUAUGGCGAGCACCAUGAACAUGUCCAAGAGCCCGGCCAAUGUCCUCCACAAACACCAAGUGAAAGCUUUCACGCAAGGACAAUUUCAUUCUAGAUUUUCUGUUUUUCCUCCACCAUAGACAUCCCAGUGUUUCUGACUCUCUCCAUUGGUGUGGAAUUUGCAUGACUCCGCCCACUGCCUCUCCCAUAACCCUUUCCUAUUCUUUUCUAUGGCAAACACCAAACAGAGGAAUUGAUCAGCAACUGAACGUACUAGACAGGUUUGGGGAGAAUUCAGUAUGAUUUAUAGGAGUUGUAGGGACUGUGAUGUAUAGUUCAUCUGCAAUCUAAGAACACUCUGAACUCCACCAACAAUAGACCUGGAACUAACUUGGCACACAGAACCUCCAUGACAUAUUGGAGGUCUUUGGGGAAAUUCACCUUGAUUUAAGGGAGUUGUAGUUCACCUACAUCCAGAGAGCACGGUGAAACCAAGCACCGAUGGAUCUGGACCAAACUUGGCACGCAUACCUGAUAUGCCAAAAUUUGAUUACUGGAGGGAUUUGCGGGGAACUGAACUUCUUUUCUGGGAGUUGUAGUUCACCCACAACCAGAGAAACGGUGACCUCCACCGAUGAUGGAUCUGGACCAAACUUGGCACACAGAACCUUCAUGACUAACUCUACUUACUGGAAGGGUUUGAGGGGACUGACUCCCCAUAGUGGGAGUUGUAGUUCACCCUAGAGCCAGAGAGCACACUGAACCCCACUGAUGAUGCAUCCAGAGCAGUGAUGGCCAACCUAUGACACGCGUGUCAGCAUUGACACGCCUAGCCAUUUUUGCUGACACGCUGCCGCCUGCAGAUUCAUUGGAUGACUAUGUCUUUUGUGGCCAAAUUUGGUGUGAUUGGGUCCAGUGGUCUUGUUGUUUACUCCAUGGGAAUUAUGCACAUUACAUUUAUAUAUAGAGAGAGAGAUUGUCAUUAUAUCAUUCUAUUAUUAUUCUAUUAUUAUUGUAGUAUAUUAUCAUAUUAUUACUAUUAUAUUAUUAUUCAUUAUUCAUGACUACAUUGAAACUAGAAUAAAGAGAAAUUAGUGUGGAAACUGCAAGAGAUACCAUAGAUUGUUGUACAUGGAAAUAAUGGUAGUAAAUAGUUUUUGAUGUAUUAAAUACAGUUAUACAUUACAAUUAUACAUUUUUGUUAUUUAAACUAUACAUAUUGCGAAAUUAUGGUUUUUCUCUUGAAGUGACACACCACCCAAGUCAUGCUAGGUUUUUUGGUUAAUUUUGACCCACCAAGCGCAAAAGCUCGCCCAUCAUUGAUCUAGAGCAACCUUGCCCAACAUAGCAAACUUUAAGUCCUGAUGGAGUUUCUUGGGGUUAACCUGGCAUGAUGUGAGUUGUAGCUCAACCACAACCUUAUGCAUUUUGUACAAUUAAAAAUUUGACUUUUUCAAAUAGCUCAGACUAGUGUAUGUGUGUGUGUGUAUCUAUCUAUCUAUCUUCCUGUUUGAAUGUAGAGCAGCAUGGAGGGUGAGUUCUGGCCCCAAAGGCGCAGGAAAAGGAGGAAAGUAAUGCAAUGAACACAGACGUAACUCCAAUGUUUGCACUUUGUAGUAACUAUUUGGUUCAGCCCUGCAAAACUGUAUAAAGCUCUCUUUGCACAAAAAUGCAAAAUGCACGCGGGAUUGUCGUCUGCACAGAAAAAGCCCUUCUAUGCAUGACAUGCUGCUUUCUGCACAAAUAAAUCCUAUGUUCCUUCUGUGCUAAGGCCAAAAUCCUCCUCAUUCUGGGAUUUUCCUCCCCGAGAUCUCCUGACACUUAAGAAAUGCAUAUAUUCUUUCCAUUCCUGCCAAGAAGCGACUCUUUUGCAGAUGAUUUUUGUUCCAGGAAAGGCAUUUUCCGCCUUCAGCCGUACUUUUUCCUCUUCUUUGGAAGGUGCAAACAGCCUCCGCCUGGGCUUCGUCAUCCAUCCCUCGGAUGCUGUUCCCGGCUAUCUUUCUGCCGACGGCUAAAUUAAGUCGAUUGCUAGUCAAUGUACGUCUGUGGGCACGUUGCUAUAGGAACCGGGCUGCGCACCAACUCUGUCACGAACCUUCCGCAACACGGUUCAGAGGGCAGCCGGUUGCCAGGACGGAUGACGCAAAACGUGUCUGCACUGGAGAAUCAAUGCAGUUUGACCCCUCUUUUUAACGGCUGUGGUUCCAUGAGAUGGAAUCGUGGGAGUUGCCCGUUCACAGGGCCUUGUCUGUAUGGAAAAUAAGGAAUGAAGAAGCAUAUGCUAUCGCAUCUCAGGAUAGCUUCACCUUGCUAAGACAUCAGGCUGCACACAGAACGUAGUCUUUUGUAGUUUACUAGCUGUGCCCGGCCACGCGUUGCUGUGGCAAAGUGGUGAUGGUAUUGGUUAAAAAUUGUUGUGUAAUUUUUAUUUGAUGUUAUUUGUAUUUUUUAAAUUAAUUUUAUUGUAAGUUAUCUUUUUAUUUAUUAUAUUUUAUUAUUUUCUUGUAUUAUUUUUAAUUAUUUUCUGUUAUUAUAGUAUUUUAUUGUAUUAAUUUUUAGUUUUUUAAAUUGUUUUUUAUUGGGUUGCUAGGAGACCAAGUUGGAGGAGCUUAGCCUUCUAACUGGCAGCAAUUGGAUAAAAGCAAUUAUUCCUCUCUCUCUAAUUAGGACUUUAUUUUUCUUUUCUUUUUGUUGUAUCAACCUAGAGCCGUGGAUGAUGGGUUGUGAUGUCAAAUUUCGAGGUUGGGGGGCCUGUAGUUUUGUUGUUUUGUGGGUCGCCGUGAUGCCAUCACUCUUAUAUAUAUAUAGAUUAGGAAAUAGACAGUAAAAUAGUUCAUAAAAGGUAAAAUCUCAGUUCCAAAAUAUAGUUACAAAACAAGGCUGUAAUCAUCAAAUCCAUAGAAGCAGAGGCAAGAAACAAGGUCCUUUCAAAGGAAGUCAAAGUCCCAGCAAUGAGAAUAUAUCCAGGCUACAAAGUAAUACAGGAACGCAGACUUGAUACAGGAAAGCAGACUUGGUUCUUGACUCCAGCUAAGAAGUUGCUUUUGACAAAGAUCUCUCUUUCAGCAGACUGUUUUAAUAGCAUAACAUGAAGGCAUUUCUUUGUCCUUUGACCUCCCUCUUAUUUGCUAUUCGGAGGUUCUACGCAACCCCCAAAAUUCCAGCCGAUAGCGGCCUCAUUGUCAAGGCCAUUAGUGUUAUCAGAGCUACUCUCCCCUUCUGCUUCUCGCACCUGGAAACCAUCAUCAGAAACAACCUCAUUUCUUCCCAUGGGAAAACUCCCUGCUCGUCAUCUCCCACAGCAGGAACACUCUGCACCUGAAUCCCAUAAUUCCCAUCAGAGUCAUCUUGAAACUCUUCCUGAACCUGAAUCCCAUCCUUAUGCACUUGCAUCCCAGAAUCCUCAUCAGAGUCACAUAAAGGCAAAGGCUGAGUCACAACACAUGCAAUGUGCAACCAUGCGCAACUCUGCUUUUGCAACUGUAAGACCAAAACGGCCAACUUCUUCCUUGGAGAAACUUAUUCCGUACCAUCAAAAGAAUAGCAAGUUUGUACACACGGAAUAGGAACAGUGUUGCCUGCCUGUUGGCUUCAAUGGGAUGGCAAAUCUACUUUGGGUUUUAUUUAUUUAUUUUAUUUAUUUAUUUUAUUUACAGUAUUUAUAUUCCGCCCUUCUCACCCUGAAGGGGACUCAGGGCGGAUUACAAUGAACACAUAUAUGGCAAACAUUCAAUGCCAACAGACAAACAACCUUCAGUUUUAGACAGACACAGAGGCAUUUUUUAACAUCUUUCCAGGUUCACGAUUCCGGCCACAGGGGGAGCUUUGCUUCACCGUCCAUUGGUGGCUGUUCUUCCUGAUUCUUUUCCUCAUGAGCAGUUUUAUGGUGAUGUAGAUUAGUUAAAUUAGCCUCCCGCAUAAAGCGUACCUAAAUUUUCCCUACUUGACAGAUGCAACUGUCUUUCGGGGCUGCAUAGGUCAACAGCAAGCCGGGGCUAUUUUUUUUUUUAAUGGUCGGAGGCUUAACCCGACCCGGGCUUCAAACUCAUGACCUCUCGGUCAGUAGUGAUUUAUAGCAGCUGGUUACUAGCCAGCUGCGCCACAGCCCGGCCCGGUUUUAGUCCGAACUUGAAAGGUGGUGUCCGAGGUGCCAAAUUCUACACUCCAAAAGGAACCGGCACCUUGGAGAGCUCCUUUCAGGUUUCCAUGUGUGUUAAUAUUGCCACUUAUUUGUGUUCCUACGUGUAUUGUUGUUGGUUUAAUACUGUUGUGGGCAACCAUGUUCUCUGGAAAUGGGGAGAGCCCAAAGACAAGGCGCCGUGCCAUUGGCUUCCUAUUGCUUUUGCUACUUCCUUGUGCCGUUUUAAACAGGGAAUUGACCACCCGUAUUUUUUGAUGUAUAUGGGAGGCCUCGGACCCAAAACACAAGAGAUAUGAAGGGCCAACUCUGCCUUUUGGCGGGUGUUUAGAUGCCCCAAAUCUUUCCUGGAAGCGGGAGAUGUUGUCAUUGCUUCUCUGUGUGAGAUAUCAUGUUUUGGUUCUCUUUUCUGUGGUUUCGCCUGCCUUUCUGAGCUCGAAAGUGGCCUCCAUCUAGAGUUGCCAUGCAGUUAGAAGACUUCUUUCUCUCUUUCUUUCUCUUUCUUUUUCUAUCUCUUUCUUUCUUUCUUUCUCCCGGUGCCGUCAACCAUGUGUGAAUGUAACUAAUGGGACCACUCUUUUGGCUGGGAAGGUUUUUGCCUCGGGUCGAUUCGUUUGUUUGUCCGUUGCUCAUUUCGGAAGGACAGGCCUCCCUCCGGAUGCAUUUGUGCCGCGGAGAGGAGAGCUCGGAGCCCGGUUUUCCGAUCUCCUGCUUUAUCUCAUUAUUAUAAUGGCAAAGGCGCAUGAGAGGAAAGGCCGCAGCUGCCCAAGGGUUCGCAAGGGCCGUGCGCUUUGUGCUCAUCGGACAGCGGCCAUUCGAUGCACAAUAAUCACAACCCAACUGGAUUUUUGUUCCUGGUUUGUACAUGUCAUUUCCUAUCAUACAGACAUGGGAAAAGUUUUUGCAGGAAGGAUAUCCCACGGCACAUUUUACUCUAGUUUUUCUUUUUAAAUGUUUUUAUUAAGUGUUUCUGUACAUAGAAAGAGUGAGCACAAUAGUGGGUAUAGGAAAGAUAGAAGAAAGGGAAAAAAGAAGAAGAAAAAAAUAAUAAAAAAAAUUAAGAAAGGCAUAAGAAAAAAAAGAAGAAAAAGAAGAAAAAAUAUAUUUUUAAAAAAGUAUUUGCCUUCCAAUUCAUUCCUUUCAGGCAUGUUUCAUAUCCAUCUUAUAUAGUUCCCACCUUCUGUCUUUUAUGUUUAUAAGUAUCAUUAUCUUACUGACUUCUCAUUUUACUCUAGUUUUUCAUUCAGUAUCUCAUCAUUGAGUCUCAACUAAUUCAAGUUUCUGGAGUAAACCAACUACAGUAGAGUCUCACUUAUCCAACAUAAACGGGCCAGCAGAAUGUUGGAUAAGCGAAUAUGUUGGAUAAUAAGGAGGCAUUAAGGAAAAGCCUAUUAAACCUCAAAUUAGGUUAUGAUUUUACAAAUGAAGCACCAAAACAUCAUGUUAUACCACAAAUUUGACAGAAAAAGAUCAUUACGCAUUAAUGCUAUGUAGUAAUUACUGUAUUUACAAAUUUAGCAACAAAAUAUCACAAUGUAUGGAAAACAUUGACUACAAAAAUGUGUUGGAUAAUCCAGAACGUUGGAUAAGUGGGAUUCUACUGUAUUACAUUUAUUAUGUUUCUCUAUUAUUUUUGCUACUAUUACAUUUAUUUCACUCUAUUUUUAUUAUUAAUAAUAAUACAUUUAUUAUUUGACUCUGAUUUUAUUAUUAUUACUGCGUUUAUUAUUUUACUCUAUUUAUUAUUGUAUUAUUUUUCUGUACUUAUUAUUAUUAUUAUUAUUAUUACAUGUAGUAUUUUACUCUAUUGUUAUUAAAAGGAGACAUAAGCACAUUUACAUUGAAGAAGAUGAGAAUAAUGAUUGGAUCAGAGUUGGACAGUCUUAUCUUAAAUGUGAGCUUGAUGUAAAUAUUCAAAAACAUUUAACCUAUGGAUGCCUCAGUUAAUGUAAUUUUAUUGAUAUCUAUUUUUAUUUCUGAAAUUUUAUUUCUGAAAUUGGAUAAGUGAGUGUUGGAUAAAUGAGACUCUACUGUACUUUCAAAGUUUUUUUUUCGUGUCAGAGGCAACUUGAGGACAUACUGAGGACAUAAGUGUUUUUUCUUGUUUCUUUCUGCGGUCCUAACUUUGAAAGUAAAGGAGCAUCAGUGGUGCAGUGCAUUAAACCCUUGUGCUGACUGAACUGCUGACCUGAUGGUUGCCGGUUCGAAUCUGCGAGAUGGGGUGAGCUCCCGUCUGUCAGCUCUAGCUUGCAGGGACAUGAGGGAAACCUCCCAGCUAACACAUUGUAUGUCCCCUGGGCAACGUCUCUGUAGGCGGCCAAUUCUCUCCCACCAGAAGUGACUUGCAGUCUGCUCAGGACUUUGCCAAACUACAACUCCCUGGAUCCCAUAGUGAUAUCAUACGGCGUCAUUUUUACUGUGUGGAUACACCCAGAGUCGGGUCUGCCAUCUUGAUGCGCAAGGACUGCCAAGACCUGCAGCUGUGUGCAAAUUCUGCUUUUGACCUUUUCUUUUCCCGAUGUUAAAAGUCCCUGUUGAGGAGUUUUUGCUGUCAUUAUUUUGCUGUGGGAUUCCCUGUUUCUGCUCGCGUUCAGGCCGCCUCGAGUCGCAUUGAAAGUAAGCCUGUUUGGCUCACUUGGAGGACCUUUUCCAAGCUCGUUUCCACGAAUGUCCGUCAGGGUUAAUUCUAGUUAAUAUCUGAAAAAUAUACACACCACGAUAAAGGUUCAAAACAUAGAACACAAUAUGUAUAUUAGAGCAUGUACACAUACUGUGUUGCUAACAAACUUGUUGAUAUAUGUUUGCUAUAUGUUUUAUACUGAAAACUGUUCUGUGUAGCAUUUAAAUCUGGAUGAUUGCAGUCUAUAAAUCUUUGCAAGUUACGACUGUGUGCCACUACAGCUGACCGAAUUUGGUUAUUGGUUGUAUUAUUGUUUGUAAUAUUGUUAACAUUAUUAUGUAUAUGAUGCUCUAAUAUACAUAUUGUGUUCUAUGUUUUGAACCUUUAUCGUGGUGUAUAUAUUUUUUCAGAUAUUGUUUAGAAUAGACAGCUGUGUUUAGUUAUUAUUAACUAGCUCUGGUGGUAUGGGAAAUAAAGUAUUGAGGAAUUGGUGGUAGUUAAGGUCAAGGGUAAAGGUUUUCCCCUGACGUUAAGUCCAGUUGUGUCCGACUGCACACUGAAGUGGAUUAUAUGGCAGUGUGGAGUCAGGAUAACCCAGUUCAAAGUAGAUGAUAUAAGAUUAUAAAUGGGUUAUAUAGCUGUGUGGAAGUGCCUUGAGUCUACACUGGCAUAUAAUCCAGUUCAAAUAUGAUAAUCUGUAUUUUAUAGGCAGUGGGGAAUAGGCUUAAGUGAGGCCUAACUCUGUCUGUCCCCUGGGCUGAGUGGGUUGCUAGGAGACCAAGUGGGUGGAGCUUAGCCUUUUAACUGGCAGCAAUUGGAUGAAAACAAUUAUUCCUCUCCCUCUAAUUAGGACUUUCUUUUUCUUUUUGUUGUAUGAACGUAGAGGCACGGAUGAGGGCUUGUGCUGCCAAGUUUAGUGUUUCUGGGAUGUGUAGUUUUGUUGUUUUGUCCUAGGCCGAAAUUUCAUUACCCUUUUAUAUAUAUAGAUUCUAGUUAAACCAAGCUGGGAAGAAAAGAACGAGAGGGAAGGAGGGAAGGAGGGAGGGAGGGCUGGGUCUUUGUUAAGCUCCAUGAAGUCAUGAGAGAGAUGCAACGGAGAAAUACCCCGAAGAAUCAACAAGGAGGAGGGAGAGAUGGCAACGGGGAAACAGAGGCGUUUUCUUGGAGAGAAGAAAGAGAGAAAGAGGGAGAGAAAGAAGCCACAAAAGAGACAAGAGAGGCGUGUUUCCCAUUGUCCUUUUGCCCUUUUGCUCACAGCACCAUCGGCCUGCAGAAACCGUAUCGUACCAUUGGACGGCUGGCCUCGAUUGAGCCCAACGCUGGGCAUCUGGAGCCCUUUCUUGGCCAGUUUCUCAGAGGCAUUCAAGGCAACCAGGCAACCGAUGGCGUUUCCUUGCCGUCUUUUCUACGGUCUCCAGGGCAGCCAGAUUGCAAACAUGGCUUUUGGAAAGCAAAGAAAACCCACAGAAUAAAGCUGUCGCACCUCAGGCUAGCUCUAUACACCAAACUGCACACAGGUUGAAGUCUUUUUUUUUUUUUAGUUUAUUAGAAAAUAGGAGAUAAAAAAAGUUCUUUAAAAGCAAAAGCAAAGUUCCAAAAGACCGUUACAAAAUAAAGCCUUAGAGCAGGGGUCCCCAAACUAAGGCCCGGGGGCCGGAUGCGGCCCUCCAAGGUCAUUUACCUGGCCCCCGCCCUCACUUAUAAAAUAAUAUUUUUAUUUCAGUUUUAAUAAUAUAAUAUAUUGUAUAUACAUAUAAUAUUGAUAAGAAUAUUAUCAUUUUAUACAAUAUAAUGCUAACAAUAAUACCAUAUAAUAAUAUUAAUUAUAUGUUAUAUAUUACAUAUAAUAUUACAGUAUAGUGGUAUAGUUCAAUAUAGUAUAAUGCUAAUAUUGUGCUAUGCUAAUAAUAUAAUAUAUUGUAUGUACAUACAGCUGCUCUGAGUUCCCUUCGGGGUGAGAAGGGUGGGAUAUAAAUGUAGUAAAUAAAUGUAGUAAAUGAAUAAAUAAAUAAUUUUGGACUUAGGUUCGCCCAAAGCCUGAAAUGACUUGAAGACAAACAACAACAACAACAACAACAACCCUAAUUAACCUGACUAUCUCAUUGGCCAGAAGCAGGACCACACUUCUAUUGAAAUCCUGAUAGGUUUAUGUUGGUUAAAAUUAUUUUCAUUUUUAAAUAUUGUAUUGUUCUUUCAUUGUUAUUGUUGUUUUGCACUACAAAUAAGAUAUGUGCAGUGUGCAUAGGGAUUUGUUCGGUUUUUCCCCCCAAAUGAUAAUUUGGCCCCUCAACAGUCUGAAGGAUUGUGGACCGGCCCUCUGCUUUAAAAGUUUGAGGACCCCUGCCUUAGAGAAUAAUCCAAGAAAUCACAAGGAAUAAACAAAGUCCCAUUAGAGCACUGACAAAGUUCCAUGAACAUGAACACAAAGGCUGCAAGAUAAUUCAGGAAAAUGAGAACUUGCUUCUUGGUUGAACGAAAGUUGCUUUGACAAAGGUUUGUCUCCAAACACACUGCUUUAAUACCCUUUGCAAAGCAUGAACGCAUUUCUCUGGCCUCUAACCUCCCUCUUGUUUGCAAUUCUCACACUCCUCCAAACCCUGAAUUCCAAACAGGCAGCUCGAUCUAAGGGACCCGUUUCAUCAAGGUCAGCCUGCUCGUUAGUUUGCUGAGCCUCAUUAUCAGACUGAGAACUGUCCUCCUUUUCUAAGUCAAUGUGCACCUGGCUAGUUUCAGUAUCAUCAACAUCAUUCCUUGCUGUGGGAAAAUGAACUUGCACUCUCUGUUCCUCAUCUUCUACAACUGGGACAUUUUGAACCUGGUUUUGAACCUGAAUCCCAUUAUCCCCAUCAGAGUCAAUCUGAGGUUCCAGCUGAGUCACAACAAAAGCCUAAGGAGAGCCUCUGGUUGUGCAGCGGGUUAAACCACUGAGUUGCUGAACUUGCUGACUGAAAGGUUGCCGCUGUAAGCCCCAGUUUCUGCCAACCUAGCAGUUCGAAAACAUGAAAAUGUGAGUAGAUCAGUAGGUGCCGCUCCUGUGGGAAGUUAACGGCGCUCCAUGCAGUCAUGCCAGUGGCCACAUGACCUUGGAGGUGUCUAUGGACAAUGACGGCUCUUUGGCUGAGAAAUGGAGAGGAGCACCAACCCCCAGAGUGUGAGUAGAUCAAUAGGUACGGACACGACUGGACUUAACAUCAGGGGAAACCUUUACCUUUACCUUAAAGCCUAAGGUAAAGCUUAGUGCAAAAUAUUGGCGUCUGAGUGAAAUGACAGAAUCGGUAAGCCGGUGAUGUGAGGAUCCUUCGUCCUGCAAAAUGCAUCAAAAACAAGGAAUAACAACAAGAAAAGGGGGAAGAAAAGCCCAGACAAACCCCCAAACCAUACAAAGAUAUGAUAAGGCUUUGCAGGCAGAAAUGUUGAAGCGGAUAAGAAAUGAGGGAAGAUGAAAUUUGGAAGCAGGUAAAUGGUUGGCAUAGAAACUAAAAGGAGAAACGAGUAGAAACUAUUAUCGGAAUUCGGGAUAAUGAGCAACGGAGAAUGCAAAGAGCCUUAUAAGGCUUUCAGAAAAUGGGGAGAAAUAUCAUCAGGUACAAAACAAAUCGGAAACCAUAUUAAAAGAUAUAGUUUUCAAGCCACGGAUGGAUGGAUGGAUGUCAAACGACAACCCUAACAGAAGAGGACCUCCCUCCUUCAUUCUUCCUUCCUCCUUUUCUCUUUCUUUCCUCCUUCCUUUCUCCUUCUUUUCUCCUUCCUUCCUUCAGCGCCUGGCUUCUUAACCCGCAGGCCCACUUCCGAGUCUGGUAAAUGCAUAUUGUGCUGAAUAUUGUCCUAAAAGCUAUUGAGGACCUCUUUAAGAUUUGCUGUUUUGGCCAUCGAAUCCAAUGUGCGCCUUCGUUUUCAGAACCCCGAAACCAAACAACAACAAAAAAGGAUUUGCUGGUGAAUGUCCUUUACAACAUCAAUGAUCAGCCUAGACAGAUGUUCAAACUGGAGGGGUCGCGUUUGGAAGGAUGGCAAUACCUAAAACUCAGUAAUGACUACAUAGCAUUACUGCGUAUUGAACUACUUUUUCUGUCAAAUUUGUUGUAUAACAUGAUGUUUUGGUGCUUAAUUUGUAAAAUCAUAACCUAAUUUGAUGUUUAAUAGGCUUUUCCUUAAUCCCUCCUUAUUAUCCAAGAUAUUCGCUUAUCCAAGCUUCUGCUGGCCCAUUUAGCUUGAAUAAGUGAGACUCUACUGUACUUACGUUUUUUAAAUGACUGACCUUAUAUAUUGUCAUUUUACCGGCAAUUGUGCAGUUCCCGGCACAUGUUGCAUUUGUGCUGCUGCACCUCACAAAAUAUAUUUUGCAUGCUUUGUUUUAUGCUGCUUGCAUCCUACUUUUAACUGUGUUUUGUGUAGAUGUUUGUUUGAUGUUGUUUCUGUAAAUGCAUAUGACCAUUGGUCGGAGCAUUAAUACAUUGAUUGACAUUUCGCCCUUUGUAGUUAUUAUUAUUUUUUCGUGUCUAGUGCUCGGCCUCCCUUUCUGGGCAGGAUUAUGUGGAUUGCUGGACUCUGGCCAGGUUGGCCUCCGCUGCCCUCCUUUCCAGCCAGGGCUUGACCCUUGGGAGGAGGUCAUGGCUGCCGGGCCUUUGGGGACGGAGGUCUCCGGGCAGUGGGCCCAACUCUCUGCAGCCCCUCCAGCCCUUCAAGGCAUCUGCUCAGGGAGUCUCCUGCCAUAGGUCCGUCUGUCUGUCUGUCUGUCUGUCUGUCUGUCUGUCUGUGGCUCAAGGUUGAAGCAUCAGAGGGUUGACGUGGGGAGAGGCACGUCUGGCACACCCAGCCUCCUCCGCUUCCUCCUCCUCUGAGCAUCCCUUCUGUUGGUGGCAGGACCAUGCGCAUCUAAAUGCACAACCGAAGGCAUAACCCACUGCUUAUAUUCAUCCAAUGGAUGCAUGCAAUGAGCACAUGCAUGCAGACCUGCAUGACUCACACCACUUCCAUAACCUUGACCUGAAUGUCAAUAAAUAAGAUUCCAGCCAAUCUAUUCAUCUGUUCAUCCAUCCAUCUAUCCCUCCAUCUCUCCAUCCAGCCAUCCGCCCAUCUCUCCAUGCAUCUCUCCAUCCAUCUCAUCCACCUCUUCCAUCUAUGCACCCAUGUCGCCAUCCAUCCAGCACUAUCCAUGCAUCCAUCUCUCAGUUUAUCCAUCCAUCUAUCUAUCCCUCCGUCUUUCCAUCCAUCCAUCCCUCUGUCCAUCCGUCCAUCCAUCCAUCUCUCCAUCCGUCCCUCUGUCCAUCCAUCCAUCCAUCCAUCCAUCUCAUCCAGCCAUCUGCCCAUCUCUCCAUCUCUCCAUGCAUCUCUCCAUCCAUCUCAUCCAUCUCUUCCAUCUAUGCACCCAUGUCUUCAUUCAUCCAUCUCUAUCCAUGCAUCCAUCUCUCAGUUUAUCCGUCCAUCUAUCUAUCUAUCUAUCUAUCUAUCUAUCUAUCUAUCCAUCCAUCUGUUCCUCUGUCCAUCCAUCCAUGCAUCUCAUCCAGCCAUCCGUCCAUCUCUCCAUCUAUCCAUGCAUCUCUCCAUCCAUCUCAUCCAUCUCUUCUAUUUAUGCACCCAUGUCUCCAUCCAUCCAUCUCUCCAUCUCUAUCCAUGCAUCCAUCUGUCUCAUCUAUCCAGCUGUUUGUCCGUCUGUCUGUCCAGCCAUCCACCCAUCUCUUCCAUCUUUCCAUCUAAUUAUCUGUCCAUCCAUCUCAUCCAUCUCUCUAUUGUUUAAGGUGCAGAGUCCCCCUAAUCCUGUUCAGAAGAUCACUGAAUGACCAUCAUAGGCAUCAAGGUCCAGUAACAGCCUGCAUGUAUACGCGCACAGUGGAUGCAUGCAAUGUGUACAUACAUGGCACCUUUAGCCAUAAUUCUCCUAAUUCCCAAUGCCACUUCCAUCAACCAAAUGUAAAUGUUCCACACCAGAAGUAGAAGAUCCACCAAAAGAAAAAGUGCUGGGUUUUUUGGGGAUUUUUGGAAAGCAGCUUCCCUCCAGACUUUUGUCACAUUGUCACAUUCUCAGGGUGGGAAAAGGACAGUUUCCCCUUCCCAGCGAUCUCCAUGUAAACUCAAGCUACACAAACACACGCCGACCGAGUGGGAGUAAUUUUGGACGGCGGGAAGGGGACGCUUUCCAAUUCCUCCCUGUCGAGAUGCCAAGACGCUGGGGGUCCGUCUCCUCAAAGGCGUCCCCUCUCCGUAUGCGCCAAGAGCCUGCUUUUCCCAAGGAGGAGGAGGCUGUGCUUCGUGGCCAACAAGAAGCCAAUGGCUUUCUUCCUUGUGCCAACCUUAGUGAGUCGCAUUCACACCAAUGAACAGGAAAGCCCUUUCCUGGCUCUGUCCCACGCUGACAUUGUGAUCCGGCCUGCCAGCGGGGAACAUGGAUGGGGCUUUGGGCAAGCAGAAAUGAUUUCCCACGACUUCCCACGCUGCACCUUUUGAAUACUGGCUCAAAACUGGCAGAAAUACCUACCUGCCUAUCUCCUCUGCUGCUUUUAACACGUCCCGGUUUCUUUCCCUUCUGCUUUCCUCUUCAGCUCAAUUCAGUUGCUGCAAACUGACUUCAGGGUACAAAUGCACAGCCGGCGCUACACUUUUGCAGGAUGUAUGGGUGCAGGACACUUGGCAUUUUCAAAAACUGUUAUUAUUAUUAUUAUUAUUAUUAAUAAUAAUAAUAAUUGACACAACAACAUAGUCUGACACAGCAAACAAGAUAGAUAUGCUGGAUUUUGUAUCAUAAAAUCACAAAUCGAACACUACCCAAGCGUUUAGGACUGUGUGAUGUAUUUUCGGAUGAUGCGCGCAGCGCCAAUUGUGUUCAAGUGCAGGCCAAGGCCUUUAGGCGCUGGACCCAGUUUGCCCAUCACCACUGGGACCCCCUUGACUGGCUUGUGCCAGAGUCUUUGUAAUUUGAGCUUAAAAUCCUCAUAUUAUUAUUAGUAGUAGUAGUAGCAGCAUAUUGUUGUUCGUUGUUGUUGUUAUUAUUAUUAUUAUUAUUAUUAUUAUUAUUAUUAUUAUUAUUAUUAUUAUUUUAUGUCACAGCAAACAAGAUAGAUAUGCUGGAUUUCAUAUCACAAAAUCACAAGUCGAACACUUCCCAAGCGUUUAGGGCUGUGUGAUGUGUUUUCGGAUGAUGCGCGCAGAUCCCAGUUGGGUGGCCUUUUGCAGUUGGCAGAUCGUGAUUUUGUCAAUGUCUAUUGUUUCCAAAUGCCGGCUAAGAUCUUUUGGCACAGCACCCAAUGUGCCCAUCACCACCGGGACCACCUGCACUGGUUUCUGCCAGAGUCUUUGAAAUUCAAUCUUGAGGUCCUGAGAGCGGCUGAGUUUUUCCUGUUGUUUUUCGUCAAUGCGACUGUCACCUGGGAUGGCGACAUCCAUGAUCCAAACCUUUUUCUUUUCCACAACUGUGAUGUCUGGUGUGUUGUGUUCCAGAACUUUGUCAGUCUGCAUUCGGAAGUCCCACAGUAUCUUUGCGUGCUCAUUUUCCAAUACUUUUGCAGGUUUGUGAUCCCACCAGUUCUUUGCUGCUGGGAGGUGGGACUUGAGGCAUAAGUUCCAAUUGAUCAUUUGGGCCACAUGGUUGUGCCUCUGUUUAUAGUCUGUCUGUGCGAUUUUCUUACAGCAGCUGAGGAUAUGAUCAAUGUUUUCGUCGGUUUCCUUGCACAGUCUGCAUUUUGGGUCAUCAGCUGAUUUUUCGAUCUUGACCUGAAUGGCCUUUGUCCUGAUGUCUUGCUCCUGGGCUGCAAGGAUCAGGCCUUCUGUCUCCUUCUUCAGGGUCCCAUUCGUGAGCCAGAGCCAGGUCUUCUCCUUCUCAGCUUUUCCUUCAAUUUUGUCAAGGAACUUUCCAUGCAGUGUUUUGUUGUGCCAGCUGUCAGCUCUAGUUUGUAGUGUGGUUUUCUUGUACUGGUUUUUUGUCUGCUGUGCUUUGAGGAGUUUCUGAUUUUUGACUUCAAUCAAAGCAGGUUCUUCACUUUGCUUUACAUAUUCUGCCAGGGCAUGUUCUUCUUCUUUGGCUGCUUGUUUGACUUGUAAGUGUAAAUUAUUAUUAUUAUUAUUAUUAUUAUUAUUAUUAUUAUUAUUAUUAUUAUUAUUGAAACUGAGAGAAUACUUCUUUAUGAAUCCCUUCAAUACAACCCUGUAACGUUUCCAAACUCUGCUUUAUACAAAACCAGUUCUGUCUUCCCUUAAUGAGCCUCAUUCCUUUCUUUCUCGUUCGUUUCCUCUGGAUCAUUUGCCCAGCAGCGGCCUUUCUGUUCCGCCUUUAAUUAGUCAGUUCCUGCUCCUCCUCGUCGCCAGACGCGCUCAUUAAUUCAAUGCAUUCCUCUGUGUGAUUGCAAAUGCAAAAUCCCAUUUGUUAUAAAGAUACCACUUGGCUGGACCCUGGAAAACUCGGAAAGGUUUUGUUAUUUUUUUUUUCUGGGCAGGAGAAGCCAUUCUGAUAUGAGAAGGAACUCAUAAUCUGUUUGGACAGAAAAGGUUGAAGAAGGAGCCACUAAUUAAAAGGGUUAAAAGGGUCCCUCAAAAAAAAGCCAUAAGCUUCAUGCCAUCCAGUAGUCGCCAUCUGCUCACCCACAGAAAACCAUAUUUAAUAAUAUAGAGCUGAUGUGGUUUAUCCAAUGCAAUGUUCUGAAUCAGCAUCCCAAAUAACCCAGGAACAGGCCAAAAACGAAGACACCAAGGCGCCACAUGGAAGGACUCUACUCAGGGGGAGGGAGGAGGAGGAGAAGCAGCAGUCAGGAGGCUUCUUGCUGCGCCUUUCAUGGCUAGUCAGCCUCUCUCCUCCCAACAUCCCUGUUGCCUCGACAAGAAGAGUGUUUCGCGAGACCAGUCACUCUCAUUGCAACAAUGUAGUAAUGGUGAGGCCGUGGACCAUAUUUUAGUUCUCAGGCACCACUGGUGGUCCACCACAGCCCACAGGUUGGGAUCCACUUCUGUAUCCUAUCUAAUCUAUCUAAUCUAUCUAACGUGAGGUAAUCUUAUUUAUUUAUCUAUCCAUCCAUCCAUUCAUUCAUGUAUCUACCUACCUACCUACCUACCUACUUACCUACCUUCUGUCUAUCUAUCCAUCCAUUUAAUUUAUCUUCUUAUCUUAUCUAUCCAUCCAUCUUAUUUUAUUUUAUCUAAUCUAAUCUAUAUAUUUAUCCAUCCAUCUUAUUUUAUCUAAUCUAAUCUAUCCUAUCUAUCUAUCAUCCAUCCAUUCAUCUAUCUAAUCUAAUCUAAUCUAAUCUAAUCUAUCCUAUCUAUCUAUCUAUCAUCCAUCCAUCCAUCCAUCCAUCCAUCUAAUCUAAUCUAUCCUAUCCUAUCCUAUCUAUCUAUCUAUCUAUCUAUCUAUCUAUCUAUCUAUCUAUCUAUCUAUCAUCCAUCCAUCUAUUUAUCUUAUCUAAUCUAUCUUAUCCUAUCUAUCUAUCCAUCCAUCCAUCCAUCUUAUUUUAUCUAAUCUAAUCUAAUCUAAUCUAUCCUGUCUGUCUAUCUAUCUAAUCAUCCAUCCAUCUAUCUUAUCUAAUCUAUCUUACUCUAUCUAUCUAUCUAUCUAUCUAUCUAUCCAUCCAUCUUAUUUUAUCUAAUCUAAUCUAAUCUAUCCUGUCUGUCUGUCUAUCUUUCUAUCUAAUCAUCCAUCCAUCCAUCUAUCUUAUCUAAUCUAUCUUAUUCUAUCUAUCUGUCUAUCUAUCUAUCUAUCUAUCUAUCUAUCCAUCCAUCCAUCUUAUUUUAUCUUAUCUAAUCUGUUAAUCAAUUCAAUCUUAUCUUAUUUGAUUUUAUUUAUCCUAUAUGUGUGUCUACCUACUUACCUACCUACCUAUCUACUCCAUCCAUCCAUCCAUCCAUCCAUAUAUCCUAUCUAUCUAUCUGUCUGUCUGUCUAUCUAUUAACCUAUCAAUCAUCUUAUCUAUCCCACUCCCCUCUAUUUUCGGUGUAGGUCUUCCCACUCCUGUUUGGAAGGCCACUGAACACCACAGGCAUUGGAUUAUUGCAAGGCCCAGUAAUUGCCUGUACUGACACAUAUACAGCCCUAUCCUCAUUGACGUUGGGAGCGAUCAAUAUUCCAAAUGUCAUCCGUGGUCAAUGCUGACCUUGCCAUGACAAGGAGAAUGGCCUGGAUCCAGUCCCGUGACCCGGGACAGUCCGGAGGUGGCUCUCCAUUUCUGUCCAUUUGUGGCCUUCGAAUCCCGAACCCAGACCCGCCUUGCCUCCCGGCCUCCCUGCCGCAUUCUUCCUUCGUUCUCCGUCGCCUUGGGAAUUGAACUGGAUUUUAUUUUAUUGACCCGGGAGGAAGUCCCGGCUGCAGUCUGGAAAGGCACUUUGUCUGGCCGGAUGCAUAAUUGAAGCCGUAUAGAUCCUUUUAAGUGCUUCUCGGGCGCGUAAUGGACCCUCUGUGCUGAGCCGGCGGCCGCCCUUCUCUGCUGACCCGGCAAUGCUCUGCGCAUGAAAGCUUUUCCUGUGCGGCCCCUCCAUGCGCUCUGUCCUCGGGGCCGGAAAGGUGAGCUCCUUCCAGUAAGACACAUUCCUCCCAAUGGUUUGUCGUGUUGCCUUGUGUCCUGGUUUUAUUUGGAACACCGUUGAAGGUCCGGAACCCUUUCCCGGAAACACCUCCAGUUCUUUCCAUGUCUGUCAGUCGGGGAUUCUGCACUUGGUCUUAGUUUGGAGCUUCGGGAACUGUCCAAAGUCCUGAAGACAUCCAUCCAGCAGAUUCAGCACCUUGGAGAGCUCCUGGGCUGAAACCUGGAUUCUUUGGGUCUUUGUCUUAAUGGCUUGGCCAAGUUUCCCAAUGCAGAUGGUUUUCCUUUCCUUUCAGCCUACGUAGCAUUAUAGAUUAUGUUCCGAUAUCGCCACAUGUUUUUGAGCUCAAUUUCCCAGUUUGUCAUUGAUGACAUUGCCAUAAGCGACUGCCUUCCUGUAACGUUUUCUUUUCUUGUUGGUUCUACUUCAAACUUUGAAUCUUGUCCACAUUGGAAAUGGGCAUCGCAAACCAAGGCCACAUUUAAGGCCUUGAAGAGAACAGCCCUCUGUCUCUAAUUUAAAAUGGGUUAUAAUCAUAGUAAAUAGCCCAGUGUCGGCUUGGUUUGGUGCUCUGUUGAAAUCAACCAGAGUUGCAUUUCAGCUUCUGUUAAAUAUAAAUGAAUAUAUUAAAAAUGAAUACAUAACCAUGA